rnacentral:rRNA from 1 species
CUCCAGACUCCUACGGGAGGCAGCAGUGGGGGAUAUUGCACAAUGGGGGAAACCCUGAUGCAGCGACGCCGCGUGGGUGAAGAAGCGCCUCGGCGCGUAAAGCCCUGUCAGCAGGGAAGAAAAUGACGGUACCUGAAGAAGAAGCCCCGGCUAACUACGUGCCAGCAGCCGCGGUAAUACGUAGGGGGCGAGCGUUAUCCGGAUUCACUGGGUGUAAAGGGAGCGUAGACGGCCAUGCAAGCCAGGGGUGAAAGCCCGGGGCCCAACUGCGGGACUGCUUUGGAAACUGCCCGGCUAGAGUGCUGGAGAGGUAAGCGGAAUUCCUAGUGUAGCGGUGAAAUGCGUAGAUAUUAGGAGGAACACCAGUGGCGAAGGCGGCUUACUGGACAGUAACUGACGUUGAGGCUCGAAAGCGUGGGGAGCAAACAGGAUUAGAUACCCGUGUAU